rnacentral:rRNA from 1 species
GAUGAACGCUGGCGGCGUGCCUAAUACAUGCAAGUCGAGCGAACAGACGAGGAGCUUGCUCCUCUGACGUUAGCGGCGGACGGGUGAGUAACACGUGGAUAACCUACCUAUAAGACUGGGAUAACUUCGGGAAACCGGAGCUAAUACCGUAUAAUAUAUUGAACCGCAUUGUUCAAUAGUGAAAGUCGGUUUUGCUGUCACUUAUAGAUGGAUCCGCGCCGCAUUAGCUAGUUGGUAAGGUAACGGCUUACCAAGGCAACGAUGCGUAGCCGACCUGAGAGGGUGAUAGGCCACACUGGAACUGAGACACGGUCAAGACUCCUAAGGGAGGCAGCAGUAGGGAAUCUGACGCAAUGGGCGAAAGCAUGACGGAGCAACGCCGCGUGAGUGAUGAAGGUCUUCGGAUCGUAAAACUCUGUUAUUAGGGAAGAACAAAUGUGUAAGUAACUAUGCACGUCUUGACGGUAACUAAUCAGAAAGCCACGGCUAACUACGUG